AUCAUGCUUAUCCGCGAUUUAUUUUGUCAUGUGCUUAUACGCUUGGGACUUAUUCAAAAUAAAGUGCCAUUUUGUUCAGUUUGGUAUCAAUAUCACAUCGUGUUCAAGCAAGUUUCUCUUUUUAAUCCUAGUGUCGUGACAAUAAUUAUUCGACUUUCUUUGUCUAUGGAUAUCAAGUGAAACUCUGGAGAGAAAAGCAGCAAUAUAUUAUGCCGGGAAUAGAUCAUUCAUCGCCAACACAACACCGGUCUUUCCGCGAUUAUGCCGCGUUUGGCUCACAUCAAAAACAGCAUCCUCAAAGGAUAUUCUUCCCAGAAAAGCUGCCAUAGGAAACGAUCAUUUAAAAAUGGGCCUAAUCCACUCCAGUCGUCGUGUGCGGAACAAAAAUGAACAGAUUGGAGAAAGCAUCAACUAUGGAUAGCAAAAAACGGAGAGAACUACAUGAUUUAUAUGAUAAUAAAUUAGUUACAUGCAAAAAUGCACAUUCUUUUAUUUUGUCUGGCCUUUGUUUA